CUGGUUGAUCCUGCCAGUAGUCAUAUGCUUGUCUCAAAGAUUAAGCCAUGCAUGUCUAAGUCCAAGCUGUGUUCACACGGCGAGACCGCGGACGGCUCAUUAAAUCAGUCGUGGUCCAAAUGGGCCAGUGCAAAUCCUACUUGGAUAACUGUGGUAAUUCCAGAGCUAAUACAUGCAACUGAUAUCCCGAAGGCGGUUUUUGUGCUUGCUUGUCUUGCGCUUUCACUGUUCUGACGGAUGCUUUUAUUAGACCAAGCCGCUGAGGACUUGAGGGUUCGCGCUCUCUUGUUUGACUCGUGUGAUGGUGACUCUGGAUAACCAAAUUCUGACAAGCGCACGUACUUCUCUUCUGAGCGAGACGGCGCUGCCACUUUCGAGUGUCUGCCUUAUCAGCUAUCAACCGUUCGUUAUGCGCGACCGAUGGCUUUGACGGGUAACGGGGAAUCAGGGUUCGAUUCCGGAGAGGCAGCCUGAGAGACGGCUACCACGUCCAAGGACGGCAGCAGGCACGCAAAUUACCCAAUCCCAGCAAAUGGGGGAGGUAGUGACGAAAUCUAACGAUGCGGGCGCCCUUUCUGGGGCCCCGCAAUCGGAAUGGGCACUUUCUAAACAACCUGUUGAGAACCUACUGAAGGGCAAGUCUGGUGCCAGCAGCCGCGGUAAUUCCAGCUUCAGCAGCAUCUAUUAAAGUUGCUGCRGUUAAAARGCUCGYAGUUGAAUGUCUGUAUCGAGCGCAGGUCAGGUGGACGUU
rnacentral:rRNA from 1 species